CACACUGUAAACGAUGAAUGCUAGGUGUAGGGGGUAUCGACCCCUUCUGUGCCGGAGUAAACACAAUAAGCAUUCCGCCUGGGGAGUACGGUCGCAAGAUUAAAACUCAAAGGAAUUGACGGGGGCCCGCACAAGCAGCGGAGCAUGUGGUUUAAUUCGAAGCAACGCGAAGAACCUUACCAGGUCUUGACAUCCAGGUAAAGCUGCAGAGAUGCAGUGUGUGCUUGCACAAUCUGAGACAGGUGG
rnacentral:rRNA from 1 species